rnacentral:tRNA from 1 species
GGGAAGUUAGCUUAGUUGGUAGAGCAACGGAAUAAUCAUUCCGGAGACAAGGUUCAAUUCCUUUGCCACCCA